CUGACUUAUAACAGCCUCCAUGUGUGAUAGUCUAUUGUUGCAUCACUAACAAAUGAAAGAAUAUUGAAGACUGUUAAGCCUACCACCGAGAAAGGGAGAGGGGAGAGGAGAGAUAAGUGAGAAAGGGAAAAGAAGCAAUAAUAAAAUAAAAAAAAUAAAAAUAAAAGUCAAACGAAAAAGAAUGCAAAAAUGGUUUAUUUGACAACUGGAUGACAAGGAAUUGUAUUUCAGCAUGAAAAGAACUGGCAAAAAAUUAGGGAACAAGAAUGAAAGGAAUGAUGUUUUCAAACCAAGGGGGCUUGACUGUUCGUUGGAGCAACUACUAUGAGAUUUUUCAGAUCACAACCCGGUGGAAAUGAGCCCUUUCAGGAGGAAAACAGCUGUGGUGCACUUCAAGAACUACUUUUCAUUUUUGCAAAUCAGGCAUCCAUAUCUUCAGCACUAUUACUCCCUGAGAAAUUUCCACCACGAGGCUAUGGCAGACGACAUAUCCAUAGAGGAGACAAAUCCAGAACCAGAAUGAAAAAGAAUCAGAGUGGAGCAGUGGACGAAAGGCUUGACAGCGCCUAGCUUCGUGCAUCGAGGUCCGGGGAUAGAAUUCUUUACCAGAGACUUUUGUUUUCCUCCGUCGGGAACUGAUAAAAUAAGUACAAGUAAUAUAUAGUUUUGAGCUUUGUCUUUGAUCCAACAAGAAAACUUUUUAAGUGGUAAUCAUACCAAUUAAAAAUAGCAGCUGAAUGUCACUCAAAUCUCUCUGACUUAGAAACGAAUGCUACAUUGGUUUCAAUGUGAUUCGAGAAUAACUGGUUGCUGAAACAUUUGGCUGAUUUUAUCAGGACUGACCAGAGUUCAGAAGAUGAAUACCAAUACUUACAACAUGUAAGUUCCUUUUGCCAGUGUAAG